GGNGUAGCUGAGCAUUUCCUUUAAUUUGGGGAUUGCAUGUGCACACCUUCUCUUUCAUCCACACACCCCUGUGCACUUGUGAGACAGAUUGCUUUUUGGAGGGGGAACUUAAUGGAACCCUUUCUUUGUGUCUCUCUGUAUACUUAAAUAAUAUACUCUCUUUUUAUUUUAAAGAGAGUGUUGGGGAUGUCACACCUCUAACACUAUUUCUCCACCGCGUAUCUCGUGUCUCUCGCAUCGAAAAAAAACGCCGCGAUGUGCUAUAUAUAGUGUGAUUUGCAAAUUUCUGUGACUCAUCAACUCUUAAAACGCCCCUUGCUCUCCUUGAUACUCUUUGGAACGUGCGUGUUUGAAUAUUAUGAACUCCUCAAAGUAAUAUCUUUUGUUAUUUCUUGUGGUUGCGCUUUGGUAGUGGAGGUCUAGUGCCUCUUCACCUGCUCCCCUCUUUGCUUUUUAUCUGUAUCUCUGUGUUACGUGUGUCUCCUCUCCGCGAGAUAAUAUCUAUAUCUCUGAAGACUCUUUUUCAACCCGGAAAAAAAAUUUUGAGAGGGGUGCCCGGGGAAGAUGCAGAAGCACCUCUUCUAAUACUCUGUUGUCUUGGACAAUCAAUUUUUAUCAUCUGACCUCACAUCGGGGACGACUCCCCGCUCAUNUUCAUCUUUCAAUAGGCNGGAAGA
rnacentral:misc_RNA from 1 species